rnacentral:lncRNA from 1 species
UCAUGAUUGCAGGAUAAAUAUAUUGAAGUGAUAACACAUAUAGAAUUUUCCUUAAGGAGAAUUUGCGUUUGGUGAUGGGGGAGUUAUUUUAUUUGAAUUUUAACAGGACUUUGUAAAAACUUGUUAACUUGAAGGCUCUGUAUUUUAACAAUGUAUACAGAGAUUCUUUUAGUUAUUAGCUCUGGUCCUGGUGUCAGCUGGGAAACCAGGAUGUGAAUCCAGACUCCAUCACUGCUAUUUCUAUUUACCUCUAGGCAACUAAGAGUAACUGUUGGCUUUCAUACCGGUGAAAUAGGAUUAAUUAUAGUGCCUACCUCAGAGGGCUCUUGUGAGGGUUGAAGAUUACAUGAUAAAAUAAACGUGAAGCAUUUAGUGCAGUGCCUUACCGUAGAAGGUCCUCUGUAAACCUUAUUAAUAAUUAGGUGUUACAGAGGCAGAUUCAUAGGGGAUUGACAUAUACAAGCUAUAUGGUUGUUUUGUUGUGGUUAUUAUUGUUGUUUUUAUGUCAAUGAGUAUAUUUUACAUAAAAUGUAAGUGCCAGCCAAAUCACAUGGUUGUCUACUUCUAAACAAGCUUGGAAAUGACCAAGAUAUGAUGAUAUAUAAGCCAAGCACAACAACAUUUGGGAACUCCAUUAAAAUGCUACAUCAAUGGCAGACAGGAAUCACAGAAAUUUAUGACUUGGUAACCAUAGGGAAAAAUAGGCUAAUAUUUAAUUUUUGAAAAGGCACCUCUCAAACCUUAUAAAACAUACUAGCAUGUUAGUGUGAUGACAUUUUAGCUUAUAAAAGUAUUUGAAAGUUCACUGUAGGUUAUUAAUAUGCUAACUUCAUAAAACAGUGUAUGUAUUUUCUAGCACCGCACUGUGUGCUUUGCCCAAAACUUUGUUGUGUGUAAGUUAUGCAUGUCACAUAACUCACAGUGAGGUCAGUCAUAUCCUUUACGUAUCCUACCCGGGUCUAGCAACUCACUUUGUAAUGUGGUGAUACUUUCCAUCUAUUCUUUGCUUCAGCCAAAAAAGUGACAGAAAGAAUCCCCUUGUUAUAUUUUGUUACUUUUUUUCUCAUUGUAAUUUUAAAAUGUUGAUAAGUAAAUGAUAAAACUGUUAGUCCUUAUUAGCUCAAAAAUAUUUCUUUGGCUUUCCAUGUGUACUCAAUGGAGAUGAGUGCACAGGCAAAGUAGAAAUAUUUAG